rnacentral:rRNA from 1 species
ACUCCUACGGGAGGCAGCAGUGGGAAUAUUGCACAAUGGGCGCAAGCCUGAUGCAGCCAUGCCGCGUGUGUGAAGAAGGCCUUCGGGUUGUAAAGCACUUUCAGUUGUGAGGAAAGGUUGAGUCGCUAAUUAUCGGCUGAGCUGUUGACGUUAGCAACAGAAGAAGCACCGGCUAACUCCGUGCCAGCAGCCGCGGUAAUACGGAGGGUGCGAGCGUUAAUCGGAAUUACUGGGCGUAAGCGCGUGUAGGUGGCUUUGUUAAGCCAGAUGUGAAAGCCCCGGGCUCAACCUGGAGC